rnacentral:snoRNA from 1 species
GAUACCAAUGAGGAAGAAUGCCCAAAGUGAUAGGAAGUGCCGUAUGACACUUUAAACAGCGGCGGCUACACGGAAAGAGCCGCUGCGUUCCCAUCCGCCGAUGAUUGGUUCAUUGGUCGGGAACAGGUGGUUCCGGUGUGCCGCCGUGUGUGUGAUUUGGAACGGGAUUCUGAGGGUC